GGUAGCUAAGCUACAUUAGCGAGAAGGAGGAGCACUACUGGAACAUCGCAAAAUCAGGAAACCUCCACUCAGGCAGACGUGGAAACCCACCUCUCACUGCCAAGCACUCCCAGGCUGAUCAUGCUUGUGAAGAAGACUUCAGUCUACAACUCUAUACUCCAUUUCUCCAGCUAUCUGUUGUGAUCAGGAC